UGUCGUUGUUAGAGCAGGACGUACGUACGGAUACAAAUUUUUAAACGGAUAUAAAACGUGUUUCAAAUAAUUUUAUUUUUCAAAAUAUACAAGGAAUGUUUUUCUACAACAACAAAUAUUUAUACAUACAAGAAAACCAACAAUUAUAUGGGGAAUAGAAUUUCCUUUUACAAAGCAGAGAAGAGCCAGGGGGGAGAAGUUCUAAAAUAAAACCACUACAAAGCCAUAACAAACAAAUCCUGUAUUAUGGUUGUUGUUGUUGUAAGCCCAGCAUAUACAAACAUACUUAAUACAAAGAGAGCCUUUAGGCAAAAACCACCUUCUGCAGAAUAGCUGCAGAAUAGCAAGAACAACAAAAACAAAGUACAAGUUGAAUGAAUGUUGAAAAUAAAUGAAAACAAAUAAUCAUAAUAAAAUAAACACACACAAACACAUAUGUAUGUGACUCUGUGUAUUUGGGGAGAUCCCUUUGACAAACAUUGUCUUACACACGCUCUAGUUUAAAUAACAAAGAGUUGAAACGUCACUGUUAUAGCAAAAACAACAACAAAAACGGUACGUGCAGACAUGUAAUAACGGGCGAAAUACACGUAAACGGAAAUAGCUUUAAAAAAAACCAAACAAAAAUGGUUUUACUCUUCGCUCUCACACUUGCAUAUCCCUAAGCAACAACAAAACAUAAUUAAACUGAAAAAAAAAAGAGAAUCUGAGCAAAAGAGCUUAAAAAGAGUAAAAUAUAUUUGAAUGUAACGGUUUAAACUAGAGAAAAUUUUCAUUAAAAAAAACAAGUGCGCGCGCAAAUUACAGUAAAAAACACGAAAAACAACGACUACAAUAAAAACAAUCAACAAAAAAAACCAAACAAACAAUAGUAUUUCCAUGAAUUCAACGAACUUUAAGAGAAAAGAGCAAAAGUAAUGUGAUAAAUCAGGAUUUAUAAAAUGUAAAAACUACAACAACAACUUACAUUUACAACCAACAACAAAAGGGGUCAAACUAGGCAACUAAACAUAUCAACAUAAUUAAAUAACAGAAAACCAAUUUUUAAAAUAAACCGGAAAUAAAACUAAAACAUUAAAAUACACACUUAAUUUAACUUGUAAGUUACAUAUAGGAAAACAAGGAGUUUAAUAGUCAAGGACAUCUAUUUUUAUAAAAAA